rnacentral:rRNA from 1 species
GACGUAGGGCGCGAGCGUUGUCCGGAUUUAUUGGGCGUAAAGAGCUCGUAGGCGGCUUGUUGCGUCGAUCUGUGAAAACCCGCGGCUUAACUGCGGGCUUGCAGUUGAUACGGGCAGGCUGGAGUUCGGUAGGGGAGACGUGGAAUUCCGUGGUGGUAGCGGUGAAAUGCGCAGAUAUCAGGAGGAACACCAAUUGCGAAGGCGGCUCACUGGCCCGGUACUGACGCUGAGGCACGAAAGCGUGGGGAGCAAACAGG